rnacentral:rRNA from 1 species
GAUGAACGCUGACAGAAUGCUUAACACAUGCAAGUCUUUGGCGAAGCUGUGCUUGCACAGCCUAGCCAAGGCGGACGGGUGAGUAACGCGUAAGGAACUUGCCCUGCAGUCAGGGAUAACAGACGGAAACGACUGAUAAGACCUGGUAAAGUCAGGCGGACUCAUGUCCAGCCUGAUGAAAAGAGAUGCUGCAGGAGAGCCUUGCGUCCUAUUAGCUUGUUGGUGGGGUAACGGCCCACCAAGGCGAUGAUAGGUAGCCGGCCUGAGAGGGUGGACGGCCACAAGGGGACUGAGAUACGGACCUUACUCCUACGGGAGGCAGCAGUGGGGAAUAUUGGACAAUGGGGGCAACCCUGAUCCAGCAAUCCUGUGUGCACGAUGAAGGUUUUCGGAUUGUAAAGUGCUUUCAGCAGGGAAGAAAAAAUGACGGUACCUGCAGAAGAAGCGACGGCUAAAUACGUG